AGCACCUCAAACAACAACGAGACCUCCUGCACAAGUCACCGGUAAGUUUUAUAUUAAUCUUUCAAUUUUCUUUAUUUGUUUCGUGGAAAAGACUACGUUUUGCAUCUCUGUGCACGAAUUACCCUCACAGUACGAGUAUUAGAGAGUUUUAAUUUACACAUGCAUGCAUUUUUUGCUGCAAUUUUAGCGCGAUUUUGCGAUCUUUACAAAUUAGCCCUCUUGUGCUCGAAUUUGUUUCCAUACUUCUUCUUUCAUUGGCCGUUGCCGAGUGAGAUUGACGUAUUACAUACGAGUUUCAAUUCAAAUACCUAUGAAACGUUUGUCGCAAGCUAUACUCCUGCAAUUGAAAAAAAGUAUUUUUGCCUGUUUCUAUACUUGCACAUAUGGCAUAGCAUCAUGCCUGGCCCAAAGAGUUGCCCGAAGAGCAGGCUGCAAUACUACAGUAUUAAAAAUGUUCCUUGAGCAUAUCCUGUGCAGAAUGAAAGCCCCCAAAACAACAACAACAACAACAACAACAACAACAACAACAACAACAACAACAACAACAACAACAACAACAACAACAACAACAACAACAACAACAAUAAUUAAAAAUAGCUGUCCCUAACGAUCCCCAAAUGCACGAUAUGAACUACUGUAUUUGAGUUAGGAUUGAACGUUGGGGCUAGAAUAGGAAUAAACGUAGAGUUAGCGAAAGGUCACAAGAGUAAGGAUGAUGCCAUGGUUAAUACUAGGAUUAAAUGUCAAAUGAGAUUGUUAAUUUAGAAUUGCUCUGUUAAUUUUGAGGUACAAGUACAACAUCAUCAAAUUUGUUCCAAAUUCAAAGUUCAGGCUAUAAUAAAUGCCUGACAGCAAGUUAUGUAAGACGACGUGGGGUUUACAGAAGAACAUUCAAUGGAAAAGGAUACGUGUACUCUUACCAUUAUGUAGUCGCAACUAGUGUAGCGCUAUCAUUGAGCGGCUGCUACCUCUCCAAACAGCAGAGCUGGCGCUGGACAUCAGAUGGACGUCUUCAGUCAGAUUUAAAUCAACAAUGUCUUGCCGUGACCCGUGUUAACAUAGACCACGGGUAUUCACAUAAAAUAUACGGAGCAUCACUGCAACCUUGCAAUUCUACUACGAGCGAUCAAGGUUGGGUCUGUAAUGGUGGUUUUUUAAAACUGAAGAACAAGAAUUUGUACCUUAUACCAUACAUAUACACUGGCCGCCCAGAUAUUGGUGGUAUUUUAAUAAAACCCAGUGUGACCAACAGCUGCCUGUGGGCACGCUAUGGUACUUCGAAAUCACUCUGUGGAAAUG